rnacentral:rRNA from 1 species
UAGCAUAUAUUAAAGUUGCUGCGGUUAAAAAGCUCGUAGUUGAACAUCAACCAAGAAUGAUGAGUUCAGAUUCAGACUUGACACUCAAUCAUCCUUGGCAACACCGUGGCGAAUGCAUCUGCGCUCUCAUGCGUUGGGCACUCUCUGCGAUCUUUACUUCGAGGAAAUUGGAGUGCUUCAAGCAGGCCAAAGCUUGCACAUACUAGCAUGGAAUAAUUCUACUAUGCCUCAGUUCUCUUUUGCUGGCUUUGAAAUCUGAGGAAAAGACCGAUAGGGACAGUUGGGGGCACUCGUAUUCGACGGUUAGAGGUGAAAUUCUUGAAUUCGUUGAGGCCGGUCUACUGCGAAGGCAUUUGCCAAGGAUGUUUUCAUUGAUCAAGAACGAAAGUUAGGGGAUCGAAGAUGAUCAGAUACCGUCCUAGUCUUAACCAUAAACAAUGCCAGCUAGUGAUUGAAUGUUGUUUAAUGCACGGCACAUUCGGCACCUCGUGAGAAAUCAAAGUCUUUGGGUUCCGGGGGGAGUAUGGUCGCAAGGCUGAAACUUAAAGAAAUUGACGGAAGGGCACCACCAGGAGUGGAGCCUGCGGCUUAAUUUGACUC